rnacentral:rRNA from 1 species
UACGGGGGGAGCAAGCGUUGUUCGGAUUCACUGGGCGUAAAGGGUGCGUAGGUGGCCAGGUAAGUUCGGUGUGAAAGCUCGGAGCUCAACUCCGAAAUGUCAUUGAAUACUAUCUGGCUUUAUUGAGGGUCGGAGGGGAGACUGGAAUUCUCGGUGGUAGCAGUGAAAUGCGUAGAUAUCGAGAGGAACACCAGUGGCGAAGGCGAGUCUCUGGACGACACCUGACACUGAGGCACGAAAGCUAGGGGAGCAAACAGG